rnacentral:rRNA from 1 species
UAAGGGCGCACGGUGGAUGCCUUGGCACUAGAAGCCGAUGAAGGACGUUACUAACGACGAUAUGCUUUGGGGAGCUGUAAGUAAGCUUUGAUCCAGAGAUUUCCGAAUGGGGAAACCCAGCAUGAGUUAUGUCAUGUUAUCGAUAUGUGAAUACAUAGCAUAUCAGAAGGCACACCCGGAGAACUGAAACAUCUUAGUACCCGGAGGAAGAGAAAGAAAAUUCGAUUCCCUUAGUAGCGGCGAGCGAAACGGGAAGAGCCCAAACCAACAAGCUUGCUUGUUGGGGUUGUAGGACACUCUAUACGGAGUUACAAAGGACGACAUUAGACGAAUCAUCUGGAAAGAUGAAUCAAAGAAGGUAAUAAUCCUGUAGUCGAAAAUGUUGUCUCUCUUGAGUGGAUCCUGAGUACGACGGAGCACGUGAAAUUCCGUCGGAAUCUGGGAGGACCAUCUCCUAAGGCUAAAUACUCUCUAGUGACCGAUAGUGAACCAGUACCGUGAGGGAAAGGUGAAAAGCACCCCGGAAGGGGAGUGAAAUAGAACCUGAAACCGUGUGCUUACAAGUAGUCAGAGCCCGUUAAUGGGUGAUGGCGUGCCUUUUGUAGAAUGAACCGGCGAGUUACGAUUUGAUGCAAGGUUAAGCAGUAAAUGUGGAGCCGUAGCGAAAGCGAGUCUGAAUAGGGCGUUUAGUAUUUGGUCGUAGACCCGAAACCAGGUGAUCUACCCUUGGUCAGGUUGAAGUUCAGGUAACACUGAAUGGAGGACCGAACCGACUUACGUUGAAAAGUGAGCGGAUGAACUGAGGGUAGCGGAGAAAUUCCAAUCGAACCUGGAGAUAGCUGGUUCUCUCCGAAAUAGCUUU